rnacentral:lncRNA from 1 species
AUGCAUGACACUGUUUUGACCCUGUUUACAAUCCCUAGGCCUCAUCUGAAAGUGCUUGCAACUCAAAUUUUGAAAGGUUCGACAAAACCAUUUACAUCAGUGCUGACUCAUUCCGCCAUCAUGUUGAGGGGAAAAAAGGUUUUCCUUGAUUACUCCCUCCAUCUGCCAUUGGCUACAUGUCCCGCCCCUUAACUCAUGCCAUUGGUUGAGCUAAUAAUGCGGCAUCAGGCAGGUUUCCCCAAAGGCUCCCUCCAUCUGCCAUUGGUCAAAUGAACAGAUAGUCUCGCCCUCAAACUCAUGCCAUUGCUUGAGCCAAUACUGAGGUUUUGGGCAGGUCAGUAUUCUACAGUUUUUACACUUUUUAAAGGGAUUUACCUACAGAUGUCUGACCUAUAGUUGUCUGUACAUAUUAAGAUGAGAUUAAGAAGGUGAUGUCAUACUUAGGAGAAGCUGGUUGUUUAUUUAAAUUCGUUAACUCUGUGUGACUGUAGCGUAAUGUGCUAGCAGAAAGUAUUUGAAAGUAGCAACUCAAAGCCUUAGAGGAAGCGUCGGUCUACUGAGCAUGAUUCAUUCUAAACAGAUCAUCGCAUAUUUUGC